rnacentral:rRNA from 1 species
GAUUGACCGCUGGCGGCAGGCCUAACACAUGCAAGUCGAGCGGAUGAAGGGAGCUUGCUCCUGGAUUCAGCGGCGGACGGGUGAGUAAUGCCUAGGAAUCUGCCUGGUAGUGGGGGAUAACGUCCGGAAACGGGCGCUAAUACCGCAUACGUCCUGAGGGAGAAAGUGGGGGAUCUUCGGACCUCACGCUAUCAGAUGAGCCUAGGUCGGAUUAGCUAGUUGGUGGGGUAAAGGCCUACCAAGGCGACGAUCCGUAACUGGUCUGAGAGGAUGAUCAGUCACACUGGAACUGAGACACGGUCCAGACUCCUACGGGAGGCAGCAGUGGGGAAUAUUGGACAAUGGGCGAAAGCCUGAUCCAGCCAUGCCGCGUGUGUGAAGAAGGUCUUCGGAUUGUAAAGCACUUUAAGUUGGGAGGAAGGGCAGUAAGUUAAUACCUUGCUGUUUUGACGUUACCAACAGAAUAAGCACCGGCUAACUUCGUG